rnacentral:rRNA from 1 species
GAUGAACGCUGGCGGCGUGCCUAAUACAUGCAAGUCGAACGAAACUUCUUUAUCACCGAGUGCUUGCACUCACCGAUAAAGAGUUGAGUGGCGAACGGGUGAGUAACACGUGGGCAACCUGCCCAAAAGAGGGGGAUAACACUUGGAAACAGGUGCUAAUACCGCAUAACCAUAGUUACCGCAUGGUAACUAUGUAAAAGGUGGCUAUACUACCGCUUUUGGAUGGGCCCGCGGCGCAUUAGCUAGUUGGUAGGGUAAAGGCUUACCAAGGCAAUGAUGCGUAGCCGAAUUGAGAGGUUGAUCGGCCACAUUGGGACUGAGACACGGCCCAAACUCCUACGGGAGGCAGCAGCAGGGAAUCUUCCACAAUGGGCGAAAGCCUGAUGGAGCAACGCCGCGUGGGUGAAGAAGGUCUUCGGAUCGUAAAACCCUGUUGUUAGAGAAGAAAGUGCGUGAGAGUAACUGUUCACGUUUCGACGGUAUCUAACCAGAAAGCCACUGCUAACUACGUG